UUUUUCCUCUCCACCDUUUGCUCAGGAUGGGAGACUGUGAUGAGGAGGACCAAAAACACAUUUCUUUUCCUGCGACACUCUCUAGUUUACAUGGAAAAAAACAAAUGUCUGCCCAUGUAUUCUGUUGAGCCAGAUGCUGUYCAACAAUAAAAGCUGCAGCCAAA